CUGCGACAUAUGCUGGGAGCUCCAUCACCAUUGGGGAGCAUAGAAAAAGAAUGGCACAUGAAUUGGGGAUGGAACCGACGUAUGUAGCUACAUUCGAACGCACAUUUCAAAAGAAAGAUAAGACAUGGAUUGGUGAUCGAGCAAAAUCUAUUAAGGUAUGCAAGGUUAUACUUUUCACUUUAUGGAAACUAGAAUGAAAA